rnacentral:rRNA from 1 species
UACGAAGGGGGCUAGCGUUGUUCGGAAUUACUGGGCGUAAAGCGCACGUAGGCGGAUUUGUUAGUCAGGGGUGAAAUCCCGGGGCUCAACCUCGGAACUGCCUUUGAUACUGCAAGUCUUGAGUCCGGAAGAGGUGAGUGGAAUUCCUAGUGUAGAGGUGAAAUUCGUAGAUAUUAGGAGGAACACCAGUGGCGAAUGCGGCUCACUGGUCCGGUACUGACGCUGAGGUGCGAAAGCGUGGGGAGCAAACAGG